rnacentral:lncRNA from 1 species
UACGAAGAACCUGCUCCACGUCAACGCCUUUGGUUUCUCGCCACUUGUACCGUUCAUACUUUUUAAUCUUUUUCUUCAACUUGGGUGGGAGGGAAUGGUAAGACAUCCACAACUCGAUAUCUUGCCCCUUCAAUCUCAUUUCCUCCAAUCUUGCUAUGGUUGAUUGCAGAUAUGUCUAUUAAAUAUUACACAAGAAAAAAAGAAUAACUCGUCAGAUCAGAUACUGUCGAGGGAUUAUGUGUAAACUAAAACUUUUAACCAUCAAAAUAACUAAUUACUGUAUGCUAUUCUACUUGCCAAAGCAAAACUGGGCCUAACGCGCCUAGUUGACGAGUUUGAAGUAGGCUUACUGACCUGCAAAUUUCCAACAAGAAGAGCAAAUAAUACCAAGCCAGAAAUGGUAAUGGUGACUGCAAAGUAGAUUUCCCACAAAUGGUUACUAGUUUUGAGAUCUUGACCCAAGGAACUGCAACACAUUACAAUUGAGGCAUGUCAGAAGAAAAAUCUUGUAAAGUGAGUUUCCAAUUAGGUGAGUUGCCAAGUUCUAACUUGUAAAGCCCUUUCAUUUUCGGACAAGAAUCUUGUAUCUAUGAUAAAUCAAUAAACUUCAUCUGUCUUUUCUCUUGCAGAAGCACAAAAACUACUCUUAAAGAAAAAUGUCAAGCGAGAACAAGGCAUAAAUGUGGAAUGAUACCUUAACUCAGUCAAACAAUGUCUUUAUCUUGCUCAAAAAAUAUGCAUUACUAGGUAAGUACUUUCUAGUUUCUCACAUAACAAGAAUGCCAAAGAAGCACAAGUACAAUGAGCUAUUGAC